ACUAGUGAUUUCCGUAGGUGAACCUGCGGAAGGAUCAUUCGCACAAAGAAUAUCUUUUACACCCGCCACGCACCACACAGUGCUUUCUGUUUUUAAUCAGGAUUUAUAUCCAACUCGUCGAUGUUGCGAUUCCAUUGCAAUGUAUGCGAUGUUAUCUAUCCCUUGCGACGACGAAUGCCUUGGCUCGAGGAUCGUUGAAGGACGCAGCGAACUGUGCUAAACAUCUCGAAUUGCAGAUUUCCGAGAAAGAAAAGGAUUCUGAACGCACUUUGCGAAUUGACCUCGUGUCAGUUCACUUGAUUGGCGGUGACCGCAAUAUGCAGUCGCUCGAACUCCGAAGUUUGAGUGGUGUGCACGUGUUGUUGCAGAUUGUUGCACCGACAUGUUCGUAGAAUUCGACGCGCCUCUCGUUUUCGAGCAGCAUUAUGACUUCGUGUUAUGAUGUUCGAAAACAGGGACCGUUUCUUGUUUGGUUUUCCAAACGAUUCUUUCGCACGCUCACGACCAGUCAAGGGAUUACCCGCUGAAUUUAAGCAUAUCAAU
rnacentral:rRNA from 1 species